UACGUAGGGUGCAGGCGUUAAUCGGAAUUACUGGGCGUAAAGCGUGCGCAGGCGGUUUGCUAGGACAGGCGUGAAAUCCCCGGGCUUAACCUGGGAACUGCGCUUGUUACUGGCAGGCUUGAGUGUGGCAGAGGGGGGUGGAAUUCCACGUGUAGCAGUGAAAUGCGUAGAGAUGUGGAGGAACACCGAUGGCGAAGGCAGCCCCCUGGGCUAACACUGACGCUCAUGCACGAAAGCGUGGGGAGCAAACAGG
rnacentral:rRNA from 1 species